UUGAAUAGCUAAUCUACUUCGGUAAGAGAGGAAGGUUGUUAGUUUUAUAGCUUCUUUCAUUGAACGUUCCCAAAAAGCAGAAGCCCUGUCUAACUUCGUUCUCCGCAGCGGCGAUAAUUACGGAGGGUGUGAGCGUUAAUUAGAAUUACGAGAGUAUAGCUCAUGCAGGUGGUUUAUUAAGUCAGAUGUAAAAGCCUCGUCUUCAUCCUGGGAAUUACAUGUGAUAGCUGGCAACGAGUGUGCUGUAGAGGGGGGGGAGAUUACAGGUGACGCUGUGAAAUGCGUAGAUAUCUGGAGGAAUACCGGUGGGAAAGGCGCCCCCCGUGGACAUAUACUGACACUGAGAUGAGAGAGCGUGGGGAGCACACGGGAUCAGAUCCCCUGAUAGUACACCCUGUAAAAGAUGUCCACUUAGACGGUUGUCGCCGUGAACUGUGGCUUUCGGAGCCAACGUGUUAUGUACCCCGCCUGGAGAGUACGGUCACAAGAUUAAAACUCAAAUGAAUUGGCGGGGGCCCGCACAAGCGGUGGCGCAUGUGGUUUAAUUCGAUGCAACGCGAAGAACCUCCCCUUCUUUUAACAUCCAGAGAAGCCAGCGGAGACGCAGGUGCGCUUUGGGGAUCUCUGACACAGGUGCUGCAGUGCUGUUCUCAGCUCGUGUUGAGAAAUGUUGGGUUAAGUCCCGCAACGAGCGCAACCCUUAUCUUUGUUUGCCAGCGAGUAAUGGCGGGAACUCCAGGGAGACUGCCGGUGAUAAACCGGAGGAAGGUGGGGACGACGUCAAGUCAUCAUGCCCCUUACGAGUAGGGCUACACACGUGCUACAAUGGCGCAUACAGAGGGCGGCCAACUUGCGAAAGUGAGCGAAUCCCAAAAAGUGCGUCGUAGUCCGGAUUGGAGUCUGCAACUCGACUCCAUGAAGUCGGAAUCGCUAGUAAUCGGGGAUCGAGAAUCAACACGGGUAAAUUCUGUUCCGCGGGGCUUUUUGAUACCCCCCCCCU
rnacentral:rRNA from 1 species